GUGCAGGCCUCCUGACCACAGGUCCUGGGCCAUCUCUUCCUGCUCAUGUGGGAGGAAACCCUGAGUUCGGGACAGCCCAGCUGCAGCCCCUCCUCACCAGCGACCCCGGGCCCUUCGCCUCGGGGCCAGUCAAGCAGGGAGCAGACAGCAGUGUGUGAGGAGGAGAAAAGAGCCGGACUACAGGGAUGCCAGCCGCCUGCCAGCCCCUCCCCUGCAGCCUCUCCUCCCAGACACGGAUGUCCCUGAGCUGCCCAGUGCAGGGAGCAGGGCCAGGGGAACCAGACACCGUCAUGACCCAGAAGGGCUGCACUUCUCCGGGGUUUGCAGAAUGUGGCAGGGGUGGAAAAACUCAAAAGUCCUUAAACACAGGUAAGCAGACAGCACAGCGGUGGU
rnacentral:lncRNA from 1 species